rnacentral:rRNA from 1 species
ACGAACGCUGGCGGCGUGCUUAACACAUGCAAGUCGAACGGAAAGGCCCUGCUUUUGUGGGGUGCUCGAGUGGCGAACGGGUGAGUAACACGUGAGUAACCUGCCCUUGACUUUGGGAUAACUUCAGGAAACUGGGGCUAAUACCGGAUAGGAGCUCCUGCUGCAUGGUGGGGGUUGGAAAGUUUCGGCGGUUGGGGAUGGACUCGCGGCUUAUCAGCUUGUUGGUGGGGUAGUGGCUUACCAAGGCUUUGACGGGUAGCCGGCCUGAGAGGGUGACCGGCCACAUUGGGACUGAGAUACGGCCCAGACUCCUACGGGAGGCAGCAGUGGGGAAUAUUGCACAAUGGGCGGAAGCCUGGUGCAGCAACGCCGCGUGCGGGAUGACGGCCUUCGGGUUGUAAACCGCUUUCGCCUGUGACGAAGCGUGAGUGACGGUAAUGGGUAAAGAAGCACCGGCUAACUACGUG